rnacentral:misc_RNA from 1 species
CGACCCUCGAGCUCCCCGGAGCUCGGCGUUGGGCGCGGCCCCGAUCACUGGGGCCCUCCCCAAAACCAGUGGCGGCAGUGGCCCGGCCCCGAGCGCAGUAGACUUCUCUCGCCCAGGGGCCUGGGCGGCGUGCCGGCCAGCAAGACUUCAGCCACACCAAAGG